CCAGACUCCUACGGGAGGCAGCAGUGGGGGAUAUUGCACAAUGGGGGAAACCCUGAUGCAGCGACGCCGCGUGUGGGAAGACGGUCCUCUGGAUUGUAAACCACUGUCCCCAGGGACGAAGAUGACGGUACCUGGGGAGGAAGCUCCGGCUAACUACGUGCCAGCAGCCGCGGUAAUACGUAGGGAGCAAGCGUUGUCCGGAAUUACUGGGUGUAAAGGGAGCGUAGGCGGGAUGGCAAGUUGGGUGUUAAAUCUACCGGCUCAACUGGUAGUCGCACUCAAAACUGCUAUUCUUGAGUGAAGUAGAGGCAGGCGGAAUUCCUAGUGUAGCGGUGAAAUGCGUAGAUAUAUGGAAGAACACCAGUGGCGAAAGCGGCUCUCUGGUCUGUAACUGACGCUGAGGUUCGAAAGCGUGGGUAGCAAACAGGAUUAGAUACCCGUGUACC
rnacentral:rRNA from 1 species